AUUUCCUCGAUAAUGAUCUCCAAACCUCUCUGUCAACUAGUAGAUGAGUGCAAGUAAUUUACAAUGAUAACGUAUCUUAUAGUAAUUCACAAGAAGUAGUACAUAUAUGAAAGCAAAAUAUUGAUUUCAUCAGCACAAAAGUUCCAUGCUUGAUAUGGGUUAAUGUUCUCUUUCAUUCUGGUUUUUCUUCACAACAAGGACAGCGCACUCGGCAUUAUUCAGGCAAUAGUUGCUCACACUCCCCAGAAAAGCCCUUUUUAAGGCUCCACCUUCAUUUUUACCCAGAACAAGCAGAUUAACUUUGUAGUUUUUAACAGCAUUGCAUAUCAGCUCUCCUGGCUCCCCCAGUUCUGUAAUUGUCUCCGCUUUUACCCCUCGACUAGCACAGAUGUUCUUAGCUUUCUCCAAGAUACCCAAUGAGACCUUCUUAUUUCGUUCUUGAACAGCGCUAAUCAUAUCCAAGGUGGGUGAGAAUGGAAAGUAAAUGCGAGCGAUGCCAAGUUGUGCAGCAUAUGCACUGUAAUUAUUAGGAAUAGGCUGUGCAGAAAAGAUCAGAAGCGGCGAGUUGACAAUCGAGUUUUUGAGAUUGUUAAGAACCCAAGUGAGUGCAUAGUAACUGGACUCACUUUCAUCUAUGGCCACCAUCACCUUACUGUCACACCCCUCUUUUUCUUUCUCCAUUUUGACAAAGAUGAAGCAAGCCAGUCUUGAGUUUAUAAACAAAAUGGAAUUUGCUGUUGGAGAAAGCAACAUCAACCUAAAGUUGACAUUUUGUCUAUUUUUUGAAGAACUUCACCGAAG
rnacentral:misc_RNA from 1 species